rnacentral:rRNA from 1 species
GGACGAACGCUGGCGGCGUGCCUAACACAUGCAAGUCGAACGGGGAUAGAUUGAAGGUUUACCUGAUAUCUAUUCUAGUGGCGGACGGGUGAGUAACGCGUGAGCAAUCUGCCUUGUACUGGGGGAUAACGUCGAGAAAUCGGCGCUAAUACCGCAUAAUACUAUUAGAUCGCAUGGUCAUAUAGUCAAAACUCCGGUGGUACAAGAUGAGCUCGCGUCCAAUUAGCUAGUUGGUGAGGUAAUGGCCCACCAAGGCGACGAUUGGUAGCCGAACUGAGAGGUUGAUCGGCCACAUUGGGACUGAGACACGGCCCAGACUCCUACGGGAGGCAGCAGUGGGGAAUAUUGCGCAAUGGAGGGAACUCUGACGCAGCAACGCCGCGUGAAGGAUGAAGGUUUUCGGAUUGUAAACUUCUUUGAUCGGGGACGAAAAUGACGGUACCCAAGGAGGAAGCCCCGGCUAACUACGUGCCAGCAGCCGCGGUAAUACGUAGGGGGCGAGCGUUGUCCGGAAUGAUUGGGCGUAAAGGGCGCGUAGGCGGCUUUGCAAGUCAGUAGUGGAAGUCCAUUUUUCAAGGAUGGAAGUGCUACAGAAACUGCGGAGCUUGAGUGCAGGAGAGGUUAUCGGAAUUCCCGGUGUAGCGGUGAAAUGCGUAGAGAUCGGGAGGAACACCAGUGGCGAAGGCGGGUAACUGGACUGCAACUGACGCUGAGGCGCGAAAGUGUGGGGAGCAAACAGAAUUAGAUACCCUGGUAGUCCACACUGUAAACGAUGAAUGAUAGGUGUAGGGGGGAUUGGACCCCCCUCCUUUGCCGCAGUAAACACAGUAAGCAAUUCCUGCCUGGGGAGGUACGGUCGCAAGGCUAAAACUACAAAGGAAUUGACGGGGGCCCGCACAAGCAGUGGAGUAUGUGGUUUAAUUCGAGGCAACGCGAAGAACCUUACCAGGGUUUGACAUCCCGCGCCACGGGUAGAGAUACUUAGUUCCCUUCGGGGACGCGGAGACAGGUGGUGCAUGGUUGUCGUCAGCUCGUGUCGUGAGAUGUUCGGUUAAGUCCGGCAACGAGCGCAACCCUCGUGGCCAGUUGCCAUCAUUUAGUUGGGCACUUUGGCCAGACUGCCGUUGACAAAACGGAGGAAGGUGGGGAGGACGUCAAAUCAUCAUGCCCCUUAUAUCCUGGGCUACACACGUACUACAAUGGGCGUUACAACGGGCAGCCACACCGCGAGGUGGAGCGAAUCCCCAAAGGCGUCCUCAGUUCGGAUUGCAGGCUGCAACUCGCCUGCAUGAAGCCGGAAUUGCUAGUAAUGGCAGGUCAGCAUACUGCCGUGAAUAAGUUCCCGGGCCUUGCACACACCGCCCGUCA